GACGAACGCUGGCGGCGUGCUUAACACAUGCAAGUCGAACGAUGAAGCUGGAGCUUGCUCCGGUGGAUUAGUGGCGAACGGGUGAGUAACACGUGAGCAAUCUGCCCUUGACUCUGGGAUAACUGCGGGAAACUGUAGCUAAUACCGGAUACUUUCACUGGAAGGCAUCUUCUGGUGAAGAAAGAAUUUCGGUCAAGGAUGAGCUCGCGGCCUAUCAGCUUGUUGGUGAGGUAACGACUCACCAAGGCGACGACGGGUAGCCGGCCUGAGAGGGUGACCGGCCACACUAGGACACAGACACGGCCCAGACUCCUACGGGGGGCAGCAGUGGGGAAUAUUGCACAAUGGGCGAAAGCCUGAUGCAGCAACGCCGCGUGAGGGAUGAAGGCCUUCGGGUUGUAAACCUCUUUUAGCAGGGAAGAAGCGAAAGUGACGGUACCUGCAGAAAAAGCACCGGCUAACUACGUGCCAGCCGCCGCCGUAA
rnacentral:rRNA from 1 species